rnacentral:snRNA from 1 species
ACUCAUACCUUGCAGGAGAAAUGCCAUGUCAUAAAAGUGGUUCUCCUAGGGGGAGGUUUAUCUAUUACACUUGCAAUAUGCUGUUCAUCCCUGUGGUUUCUCCAAAUGUGGGAAACUUAACUGCAUAAUUUGUGUUAAUGAGAGAAUUACAUUUAUGAUUCCUGUUU